GACGAACGCUGGCGGCGUGCUUAACACAUGCAAGUCGUACGGUAAGGCCCUUUCGGGGGUACACGAGUGGCGAACGGGUGAGUAACACGUGAGUAACCUGCCCACAACUUUGGGAUAACGCUAGGAAACUGGUGCUAAUACUGGAUAUGUGCUCCUGCUGCAUGGUGGGGGUUGGAAAGCUCCGGCGGUUGUGGAUGGACUCGCGGCCUAUCAGCUUGUUGGUGGGGUAGUGGCCUACCAAGGCGGCGACGGGUAGCCGGCCUGAGAGGGUGACCGGCCACAUUGGGACUGAGAGACGGCCCAGACUCCUACGGGAGGCAGCAGUGGGGAAUAUUGCACAAUGGGCGCAAGCCUGAUGCAGCAACGCCGCGGGCGGGAGGACGGCCUUCGGGUUGGAAACCGCGUUCAGCAGGGACGAAGCUUUUUGUGACGGUACCUGCAGAAGAAGCACCGGCUAACUACGUG
rnacentral:rRNA from 1 species